rnacentral:rRNA from 1 species
UACGUAGGAUGCUAGCGUUGUCCGGAUUUACUGGGCGUAAAGCGCGCGCAGGCGGCACUGUAAGUAAGGUGUGAAAUAUCCCUGCUCAACGGGGAGGGUGCACUUUAGACUGCAGAGCUAGAGGACGGUAGAGGGGGGUGGAAUUGCUGGUGUAGCGGUGAAAUGCGUAGAGAUCAGCAGGAACACCCGUGGCGAAGGCGGCCUCCUGGGCCAACACUGACGCUCAUGCACGAAAGCGUGGGGAGCAAACAGG